rnacentral:rRNA from 1 species
GACUACAUGAAGCUGGAAUCGCUAGUAAUCGCGGAUCAGAAUGCCGCGGUGAAUACGUUCCCGGGUCUUGUACACACCGCCCGUCACACCAUGGGAGUCGGAAAUGCCCGAAGUCUGUGACCCAACCUUAGGGAGGGAGCAGCCGAAGGCAGGUCGGAUGACUGGGGUGAAGUCGUAACAAGGUACC